UCCCAAAUACCCCUCAUUUCGGAGCAAAACAUCAACAAUCCUUCCCUCUCUUGAAGAUCUCACUAAGGUAUUCUCUAAGAAGCCCUUAAACUCUAUGUUUUGAUUCAUUUACUCUUGCUCAUCACUAUUCUUCUAAACAGCAGUAGUUAUGGGAUUUAGAAGAUCCUCAAGGGACAAAGGAAAGAGGAGAUUAGUAGAAGAUUUUGAUCU
rnacentral:lncRNA from 1 species